CCAGACGGCCGGACGACCGCUGCCAGUCCCGAGAGGGGCGGUGGAGGAAAGUCCGGGCUCCAUGGGAAAACGGUGCCGGCUAACGGCCGGCGGGGGCGACCCCAGGGACAGUGCCACAGAGAAGAGACCGCCCGCGCCGCCGAGAGGCGCUGCGGGCAAGGGUGAAACGGUGGGGUAAGAGCCCACCGCGCCCCUGGCGACAGGGGCGGCACGGCAAACCCCACCGGGAGCAAGGCCGAAUAGGGAUGGCCGGAGAGAGCCCGCGAGGGCUCGUCGCCAGGGGCUUCCCGCCCCGCCAUCCGGGUUGGCCGCGAGAAGUCCCCGGCAACGGGGACUCCAGAGGAAUGGUCGUCCGGUCCGCAAGGGCUGACAGAACCCGGCUUACAGGCCGUCUGGCAAU
rnacentral:RNase_P_RNA from 1 species